rnacentral:misc_RNA from 1 species
UCACCGCUUGCGCGGGCAGUCUCAUUAGAGUCCCCAGCUUUACCUGUUGGCAACUAAUGAAAGGGGUUGCGCUCGUUACGGGACUUAACCCAACACCUCACGGCACGAGCUGACGACAGCCAUGCAGCACCUAGUUUUGUGCCCCGAAGGGAAUUCCGGUUUCCCGGAACGUCACUAACUUUCAAGCCCAGGUAAGGUUCCUCGCGUAUCAUCGAAUUAAACCACAUGCUCCUCCGCUUGUGCGGGCCCCCGUCAAUUCCUUUGAGUUUCAAUCUUGCGACCGUACUCCCCAGGUGGAUUACUUAAUGCUUUCGCUCAGACGCUAACGGUAUAUCGCUAACAUCGAGUAAUCAUCGUUUAGGGCGUGGACUAC